rnacentral:rRNA from 1 species
UAGGGAAUCUUCCGCAAUGGGCGAAAGCCUGACGGAGCAACGCCGCGUGAGUGAGGAAGGUCUUCGGAUCGUAAAACUCUGUUAUUAGGGAAGAACAAAUGUGUAAGUAACUAUGCACGUCUUGACGGUACCUAAUCAGAAAGCCACGGCUAACUACGUGCCAGCAGCCGCGGUAAUACGUAGGUGGCAAGCGUUAUCCGGAAUUAUUGGGCGUAAAGCGCGCGUAGGCGGUUUUUUAAGUCUGAUGUGAAAGCCCACGGCUCAACCGUGGAGGGUCAUUGGAAACUGGAAAACGUGAGUGCAGAAGAGGAAAGUGGAAUUCCAGGUGUAGCGGUGAAAUGCGCAGAGAUAUGGAGGAACACCAGUGGCGAAGGCGACUUUCUGGUCUGUAACUGACGCUGCUGUGCGAAAGCGUGGGGAUCAAACAGG